CCGCUCUUGCCACAGAGCACGUAAAUCCAUCCUAUUAAAAAUAGAACCCAAGCUCAUUAACAUGGCAAUUAGAGAACCAGGCCCUCAAGCCAAAGGUUUCCUGUUCGGAGAUUCAUUUGUCAAAGACCUGGGCGCAUAUGUCCAAACAUUUACUGCCUUGGACAAGGCACAAUUAAACAUGAAAAGGGUGUUCCACCCAAAGGUUUUUUCUGGGGCCGGCAGAGCAAGGGGCCGUCUGUCCGGUAGAGUUAAUAGAGGUUCAUGCAAAACAAACAGAGGCUCCUACAUGGGGAGACCCCCCUUUCCAGAACAGAGGUCCACUCCGACGUUAUUCCCCCAAAGAGGCAGAUCAUGGGUGUCGAGAGGCUCACAAGGCGCUCCUUCCGGAAGACGUCCUUACGGUAAGCUACCUACCUAAUUUUUCUUCUCCUUUAGCAAUAGGGGGCACAUUUUUGCCUACGUGAUUGGCUUCAAACAUCGGACUGGAUGGUAAAACUUUAUCUACGAGAUGCCUACUUCACGGUGCCCAUUGCAGAGGCCCAUCAGGACUUCCUGCAAUUCAAGUUUCAAGGAAGGAAAUGGCGGUUCCACUGCCUUCCCUUCGGUCUCUCUUCCGCGCCUUGGUGCUUCACCAAGCUCAUGAAGCCAGUUAUCGUUCUUCUACGUAGUUGGGGGAGUUGUCUAAUCAUUUACUUAGACAACAUCCUACUGGUAUCCCAAUCGGUGCUCCUACUUCUUACUCACCUCGGUUGGACCACAACCUUACUACAGAAACUAGGCUUCAUUAUCAACUGGCAAAAGUCCAUACUAGUUCCUACUCAGCGGAUAGUUUCUAGGCCUCCUAGUGGAUUCGGUAAUGCAAACCCUAUUCUUACCUGUCUCCAAAAUGAGGAAUAUCAAAAAAGAGAUAAGGCCUGUUCUAGCCUCCCCG